GGAGGUUACUGGGUUAGCACUUAGCGGUUGCAUACUUGCAUAGCAUACAUGGGCCGUGUUGGGCCGGAAACAAUUCAGGGAAAAAAGGAAAAUCUUCACCCAAAUACGGGAUUCCGAAAAUACGGCCAAAAAAACGUUGUUCCGUUUCCGUUUCGACAACCUCCAUCCCGAAUUCCGAACCAUUUCGGGAUUUUCACGAACUGUUUCCAGAUUUUUUCUUAAAAAAGGAAAUGGGCGGGUUAAAUGUGGAAAAAUGGCCGGGCGGAAACGGGAUUCUUUCCGUCUGUUUUCAACACUAUUCACGUUGGGCAUGCGUAUUUCAUAGUUUUGUAUAGAAAAUAUGUGUCAAAGGCAGAAAAGAUUAUGUUUGUG
rnacentral:lncRNA from 1 species